AAGGUAGCAUAAUAAUUUGCCUCCUAAUUAGAGGCUAGUAUGAAUGGACAAACGAAAGUAAAACUGUCUCCAAUAGAACCAUAAAACUUAAGCUUUAGGUGAAGACGCCUAAAUUAAACUAAAGGACAAAAAGACCCUGUUGAGCUUAACUUUCAACAAAUCAAAAAACUUUUCUAAAGUUUAGUUGGGGCGACUAAUGAAGAAACAAAGCUUCCUUAACACAAAGACUAAUAUGUCUCACUAAUGACCUGCCUAUGCAAUCAAAAAAGAAGCUACCACAGGGAUAACAGACUAAUCCUUCUCAAGAGCCCAAAUUGACAGAAGGGUUUGGCACCUCGAUGUUGGCUUAAGGUAUCCACUGAGUGCAGCAGCUCAGUAGGAAGGUUUGUUCAACCUUUAAUUCCUUACGUGAUCUGAGUUCAGACCGGA
rnacentral:rRNA from 1 species